rnacentral:lncRNA from 10 species
CUUAAGAGUCAUCACCACUCCCUAAUCUCAAGUACCCAGGGACACAAAAACUGCGGAAGGCCGCAGGGACCUCUGCCUAGGAAAGCCACCUGCAAUGGAUCAUGGAUCCCAGGCUGCUUCUGGACAUCCUUCUAGGCUCCAGACUCACUGGAGACAUCCUGACACAUAAUGCUUCGCCCAGCACAAUGCGAUGCCCUUUACCUAGUAAAAGGGUGAGUCCCGUAAAGGUGCUGCCUUCCCCCCAGAACAAACAAGGGAAAUGCAUCAGGAGAGCUCAGCUGCAGACAGAAUGCACAUCAUGAAGCAGGAGCCACCCUGGGAUUCCUCAGAUGAAAGCCAAUUUCAAUGAACAUUGUGUUUCAAAGCCCGCUUCCUCUUGCUCGGUAAGAGCUGCAGAAGGAACAUCCCACUUGAGUCUGCUGACACAAAAGAAUGCUGUGGCUGGGAGAUCUUAUCGAGCCUUCCUGUGCCACAGCAACAGAGCUCCAGUUGUGUCUUGUAAGAAUUGGUCAUUGUUUCAUGGGGACGACUGGCUCCUUUGGGUGGGAUCUGAUGGCAUCUCAUGGAGUUGAGGUUGUCUGCCAACGCUAACUGGCCAGCUCUGACAGGAGGUGCGUGGCCCAGGAGGAGCCAUCAGGCCAGUUCUCUGGGAUACUGCUGUGUCUCCAGCUCUGCAGUUUGCUCUUCGUCACUCAGCGGCAGACGGAGAGGCAGACACGAGCCCCUUGUGAGCCCUCCUCCUUACCGUCAUCUCACAAUGCUCUGAAAUAAGGAGGCAAAUGGCUGAGGUCCCCUCAGUGGUAGAUGUGAUUGAGUUCUAUCUACCAGAAGCAUAUGCCUCCUGGAAGCCUGGUUCUAACACCUCCCACAAAAUCCUUCAAGCACUUUUUUCUGUUCCAAGGUUUGCUUAUGGGGGACCCAGUGAAGUGCUUCAGAGCCCUAGAGAUUUGCUGAGUCAUAUGAGGGGUCAGCAAACUUUUCCUGUAAAGGGUCAGAUAAUAAACAUUUUAAGCUUUGU